CAGCCGCCGCGGGAAUACGAAGGGGGCUAGCGUUGUUCGGAUUUACUGGGCGUAAAGCGCACGUAGGCGGAUCGAUCAGUCAGGGGUGAAAUCCCAGAGCUCAACUCUGGAACUGCCUUUGAUACUGUCGAUCUGGAGUAUGGAAGAGGUGAGUGGAAUUCCGAGUGUAGAGGUGAAAUUCGUAGAUAUUCGGAGGAACACCAGUGGCGAAGGCGGCUCACUGGUCCAUUACUGACGCUGAGGUGCGAAAGCGUGGGGAGCAAACAGGAUUAGAUACCCCAGUAGUCCCUGUCUCUUAUAA
rnacentral:rRNA from 1 species